UUCUUCGGGGCAGGGUGAGAUUCCCUACCGGCGGUAUAGUCCGCGACCCGCUUAGGGCGGCUGAUCCGGUGUAAUUCCGGAACCGACAGUUACAGUCUGGAUGAGAGAAGAA
rnacentral:ncRNA from 1 species